rnacentral:piRNA from 1 species
GUUAGGAACUCAAGCAGGAUAGG